UGACGGCCAUACUACGUUGAAACACUGGCUCCCAUAGGAUUAGCGAAGUUAAGCAACAUCAAUCCUGGUCAGUACCUAAAUGGGUGACCGCCUGAGAAUACCCGGUGCUGUAUG